UUUCGGAUAAUGAUGGGGGAUCGAUUCACGGCGCCCCUUUUGCCUUUCCACGGCGCACAGGGGCGCCGCACCGCA